rnacentral:rRNA from 1 species
GAUGAACGCUGGCGGCGUGCCUAAUACAUGCAAGUCGAGCGAACAGACGAGGAGCUUGCUCCUCUGACGUUAGCGGCGGACGGGUGAGUAACACGUGGAUAACCUACCUAUAAGACUGGGAUAACUUCGGGAAACCGGAGCUAAUACCGGAUAACAUGUUGAACCGCAUGGUUCAACAGUGAAAGACGGUCUUGCUGUCACUUAUAGAUGGAUCCGCGCCGCAUUAGCUAGUUGGUAAGGUAACGGCUUACCAAGGCAACGAUGCGUAGCCGACCUGAGAGGGUGAUCGGCCACACUGGAACUGGGACACGGUCCAGACUCCUACGGGAGGCAGCAGUAGGGAAUCUUCCGCAAUGGGCGAAGGCCUGACGGAGCAACGCCGCGUGAGUGAAGAAGGUCUUCGGAUCGUAAAACUCUGUUAUUAGGGAAGAACAAAUGUGUAAGUAACUAUGCACGUCUUGACGGUACCUAAUCAGAAAGCCACGGCUAACUACGUG